rnacentral:rRNA from 1 species
CAAUAGCGUAUAUUUAAGUUGUUGCAGUUAAAAAGCUCGUAGUUGGAUUUCGGAUGGGACUUGCCGGUCCGUCGUUUCGAUGUGCACUGGCCAGUCCUAUCUUGUUGUCGGGGACUAGCUCCUGGGCUUCACUGUCCGGGACUAGGAGCUGACGAGGUUACUUUGAGUAAAUUAGAGUGUUCAAAGCAAGCCUACGCUCUGAAUACAUUAGCAUGGAAUAACACGAUAGGACUCUGGCUUAUCUUGUUGGUCUGUGAGACCAGAGUAAUGAUUAAGGGGGACAGUCGGGGGCAUUCGUAUUUCAUUGUCAGAGGUGAAAUUCUUGGAUUUAUGAAAGACGAACUUCUGCGAAAGCAUUUGUCAAGGAUGUUUUCAUUA